AUGCCUGUUCGAGCGUCAUUUCAACCCUCAAGCCCCCGGGUUUGGUGUUGGGGAUCGGCUCUGCCUCACGGCGGUGCCGCCCCCGAAAUACAUUGGCGGUCUCGCUGCAGCCUCCAUUGCGUAGUAGCUAACACCUCGCAACUGGAACGCGGCGCGGCCAUGCCGUAA
rnacentral:rRNA from 1 species